CCAAUUUGCUCUUGUGGGGAUCCCGUCAUGUUGAGUAGGAUUUAUGUUUGUAGAGAGCUUUCUGUUCUUCUCAUCUGAUCUCUCUUUGUAAGAAGCAACAUAAGCAGCCAUGCUGUGGGCUGGGGCCCUGCUUCUAGCUUUCCUGCCAGCUGGCAGUCAAACAUCUUCCAACAUGGAAGGGGGAAUGGUCUCAGUCACCAGGAAUCCUGGGUCACAUGUGACAAUCAGUUGUGACCUGCGUGCAGGAAGAAGCUACACUCACUGGUACCGAUUUCAGGAGGGUCAGGCCCCCCAGCUCCUCCUCUAUUAUGAUGUCUCCAGCUCCAAGGCUGUGCUGGAUUCGGGCCUCAGACCAGGAAAAUUCAAUGCUUACCAAGUUUCAGAGUUUAGCAAUAAACUUAUAGUACAAAAUUUGGAAGAAGGUGAUGCCGGUGUGUACUACUGUGCAGUGUGGACAGUCACAGUGCUUCGCACCUGCUCUGUGCUACGCCGAAAAGUCUGCUUGUGGCUGCUCCUGGUGCACAGGCUAGAUGGGCCCCCAGCUGACUUUCAGUCCUGAUAGCUAGUAUAUUGUCAUCAGCUUCCAGUUGAUGGGUGGACGGAGUGUCUAAUUCGUAUAUACCUUUGUCAAUGUUUCUGUGAUAAUCACCUCGGAAUGAUUCUAAUAAGAGAAGAAAUUUUCAGAAACAGAUAAUUCAGCAGUGUUAUAGAGGUAUACAUGGAAAAUACUUUUGUAUCCACAUACUCUCA